rnacentral:rRNA from 1 species
UAAAUUAAAAUUAUUAAUAUUUUUAUUUUUUUUUGAUUUUUUAUAAAAGUAAUUUAUUUAUUUAGAGUUUUAGUAUUUAGUAAAAAUUAAUUUAUAGAUUUAUAGUUUAAUAGUAUUGUAAAAGAAUUAAUUAAAUUUUUAAAAGAAUAUUUUUAGUACCUUUUGUAUCAGGGUUGAUUAAAAUUUUUAAUUUUUUUUUAAUUUCUCAAAAUUUAUAGAGUUAAUUUUAUUAUUAAUUUAUUGUGUUAUAAAUAUUUAAAAAAUAAUAUUAGUUUUGAAAUUUAAUUCGUUAUAUUAUAUUUAGUUAUUUAAGAUUUAAAUUUAAUUUAAAAUUUUAAAAGUUAUAUUGAUUUUUUAUAUUAAUAUUUUAAAUUUAAAUUAUUUUAGGGAUAAGCUUGAAAUUUUUAUAUAAUAAUUUAUUUAUUUUAAUAAUUUAUAGGAAUAGAAAUUUUUAUUUAAGUUUGUAAAAAUUUAUUAUUUAUUUAUUUUUAAUUUAUUAUAAAUUUAUUUAUUUUUUAUAUUAAAUUUUAUUAAUUAAUAUUUAAUUAAUAGUAAUAAUGAUUAAAUUAGUAUAAUUUUUAUUUAUAAAUUAUGAAUUCGGCAAAAAUUAUUUUCAUCUGUUUAACAAAAACAUUGUAUUAAGUUUAAUUUAAUAUAGGAUCUGCUCAAUGAUUUAUUAAAUAGCUGCAGUAUUUUGACUGUGCAAAGGUAGCAUAAUAAUUAGUCUUUUAAUUGAGGACUUGUAUGAAAGAUUUGAUGAGAAAUAAACUUUAUUAUUUAUAUAAUUAAAAUUUUAUUUUUAAGUAAAAAAGCUUAAAUUAUUUAAAGGGACGAUAAGACCCUAUAAAACUUUAUAAAUAUUAAUUUUGAUUUUUUUGGAUUUAUAAAUAUUUUAAUUUUAUUAUUUAUUUUAUUGGGGUGAUAAAAAAAAUUAUUAAACUUUUUUUAAAAUUUUACAUUAUUUAAUGAGUAUUUGAAUUAAAAUUUUUAAUUAAAGGAAAAAGUUACUUUAGGGAUAACAGCGUAAUUAAUUUUUUAAGUUCAAAUUUAAAAAUUAGUUUGCGACCUCGAUGUUGAAUUAAGAUUAAUCUUAGGUGCAAAAUUUUAAGUAUUAGGUCUGUUCGACCUUUAAAUUCUUACAUGAUUUGAGUUCAAACCGGUGUAAGCCAGGUUGGUUUCUAUCUUUUAAAAAAUAAAUUAUUUUAGUACGAAAGGAUUAAAUAAUUGAAUUAAAUUUUUAUUAAAUGAAUUAAAUUAAUUUA